rnacentral:lncRNA from 1 species
UAAAUGCACCCUUUCCAUAACCCUGGAUGACAUUAUAUGGUAUGAAAUGAAAGCAUACCAUUUCUUCCUUAUAAAAGAGUCUUUUUAAAAAUAGUAAUUAAAGAAAUUUUUAGUCAAUUUUGCUUUAUCAAAAUUAAGUAAAUUGAACUGGGGACUCUGUAUCAUUUACAAAAAAUUUGACCAGAGUUUCCCAGAUUAUAAAUUUAGGGAAAUAUAGAAAGAAUUGUGAUAUAGAUGUAUUUUCCUUUUAUUAAUUUGAAUUAGUUAUUGUUGUUCUUAAAGUUAUUCUAAGU